rnacentral:misc_RNA from 1 species
GAUGAAGAACGCAGCGAAAUGCGAUACUUGGUGUGAAUUGCAGAAUCCCGUGAACCAUCGAGUAUUUGAACGCAAGUUGCGCCCGAAGCCAUUAGGCCGAGGGCACGCCUGCCUGGGCGUCACACGUCGUUGCCCCCCCAUCUACUCCUUCGGGAUUGCGGGGGGCGGAUGAUGGCCUCCCGUGCGCCUUGCCGCGCGGUUGGCAUAAAUGCCAAGUCCUCGGCGACGCACGCCACGACAAUCGGUGGUUGCGAAACCUCGGUUGCCCGUCGUGUGCGGUCGUCGCGCAUCGAGGGCUCGAAAAAAUUGCCGGGUUCCGGCUCGGCUUUCAACGCGACCCCAGGUCAGGCGGGGUUACCCGCUGAAUUUAAGCAUAUCAAUAAGCGGAGGA